UAUAUGUCAUAAGGAUCUGCUUCUUGUGGCUUAGC
rnacentral:sRNA from 1 species